CCUACGCGAGGCAGCAGUGGGGAAUAUUGGGCAAUGGGCGCAAGCCUGACCCAGCAACGCCGCGUUAAGGCAGAAGGCUUUCGGGUUGUACACUUCUUUUCUGAGGGACGAAGAAAGUGACGGUACCUCAGGAAUAAGCCACGGGUAACUACGUGCCAGCAGCCGCGGUAAUACGUAGGGGGCCAGCGUUCUCCGGAUGUAUUGGGUGUAAAGGUCGUGUAGGCGGGAAAGCAAGUCAGAUGUGAAAACUCAGGGCUCAACCCUGAGCCUGAAUUUGAAACUGUUUUUCUUGAGUGCUGGAGAGGCAAUCGGAAGUCCGUGUGUAGCGGUGAAAUGCGUAGAUAUACGGAGGAACACCAGUGGCGAAGGCGGAUUGCUGGACAGUAACUGACGCUGAGGCGCGAAAGCGUGGGGAGCAAACAGGAUUAGAUACCCCAGUAGUC
rnacentral:rRNA from 1 species